rnacentral:rRNA from 1 species
UUCUUAAUUAGCCUCCGCCCGCUAUGAGAAUGUUUUCAUCUGUUGCCCGGCAUGGAUUCUCUGCCCCCGGCGCGUCGCAGCCCCCGAUCCCGUGGCGCCCGCCGGAGGACCGGCUCUUACUCUUUUUUCUCUCCGUCCCGGACUACGUCGCGGCUCUGUUUUAUUUUUGCUCUGAACCUUUCUCAGCGACCCUGGCGGGCGUCUCCAAGAUGAAUCAAAACUUUCAACGACGGAUCUCUUGGAUCUGGCUUCUUUGAAGAACGCAUCGCUGUGCGGGAUUUAAUGUGAAUUGCACAAUUCAGUGAACCAUCGGAUCGUUGAACGCACAUUGAGCCCGCCUGUAUUCUGGCGGGCAUGCCUGUCCGAGCGUCGUUUCGACUGUCAAACCCCUCCGGGGGGGCGGCCUUGGGGAUCGCACGAUUAGAAUUCACCCUGAAAUACGAGUCCAACCCUCCGGCGCAUACCUACCGAACCUUUGGUACACCCGUGGAGGGAGCGAGGAAAGGAGAAGAAACACCACAAACCUAACUCUGACAUGUUGACAAAAAAAUCAUGUUCGAAUACUCGCUGAACUUAAGCUUAUCAUUAACUAGGA